rnacentral:lncRNA from 1 species
GAACGUGCAUUGGGAUUCUUUCCUCUGCCUGCAAUCCCCUUUCCCCUGCUUCUCUCUGCUGAGCCCAACUGCGACCUUCGAAUCCCAGGUUCGUGUGACUCUGUGUGCGUGUUCAUGUGUGUGCACGUAUGUGUAUGCCUCCAAAGCCUUUCAUUUGCUUAUGUACCCCUGUUACGGUUUAGACCCCCAAAACUCUCAUGCUCAGGGGCAGGGCUUUUGGGAGGGGACUGGAUCCAGCCUCAGAGCUGACGUGCCGUCAGGAGGUGGGGCCUAGUUAGAGGGGUGUUGCUGGGGGCGUGGCCUGGAAGGGUUUCUCUCCUUUCCUGGCUCCUCCCUUCUCUCUGCUUCCGGCCGCCAUGAUGUGAGCAGCUUUCCUCCACUCAGACCCUUCAACCACGGUAUUUCUGCCUUGGAGCUGGCCAGCGGUGCAAGGACCGAGACUUCUAAAACUGUGAGCCAAAAUCAACCUCUCCUCUAAAUUGUGGGUGUUGGGUAUUGUGUCGUAAUGAUGAGGAAAGCGACUAAGACACCCCCGCAAGCAAAAUAGAUCUUCCUCUCCUCUAGUAUGCUUCAGUGGCUCUUGGCUAGCUCCUUCUAGAAUAACACCCCUUGUGUUUGUUCUCACCCUGACUUUCCAGCUAGAGUGAGCAGGAACCUUGUCGUAUUCGUUGCUGUAAUUGUAGUACCUCAUACACUACCUUACACGCUGCUCCAGAAAUGCUUACUAAGAUACAGCGUAUUUUAUUAUAACUUACACGUGUUUUUCACUUACUAUUCGGCAC